rnacentral:misc_RNA from 1 species
AAGUCGUAACAAGGUUUCCGUAGGUGAACCUGCGGAAGGAUCAUUAACACGUAUCCACGUAUCAACCCCUUUGUGCUUUUUACGUUUUGACGUUCCUGUCUUGAAGUGUAAGUUCUGAAGUUGCGCGAGAAUCGAAUGGUGUUUGAGUCAAAUCAAACAUUCUCGUGUGAUUGUUGCAUUGUCUGUCUCUCCCUUCGGGGUGAGAAAUUCGUUGCACAGGAUUUGCAUUUCUACUGUACAGGUCUAACCAAUGUUAGCCAUUCUAACAUGCCCUUUUAUUAAACUAAACCCUUUGUAAACAUCUUGCUAACUUAAUUUGAGCUUCUGCGACAACGCAAGUUGAAGUGGAGAUUCAAUAUUACGAAAUGCUUGACAACUCUUAGCAACGGAUAUCUUGGUUCUC